rnacentral:tRNA from 1 species
GGAGUGGUGGCCGAGUGGCUGAAGGCGCUCGCCUGCUAAGCGAGUAUACGGGCAAAACCCGUAUCGAGGGUUCGAAUCCCUCCCACUCCG